rnacentral:rRNA from 1 species
UACAGAGGGUGCGAGCGUUGUCCGGAAUCACUGGGCGUAAAGGGCGCGUAGGCGGCUUGAUAAGCGUGCGGUGAAAGCCCGGGGCUCAACCCCGGGUCGGCCGUGCGAACUGUCGAGCUGGAGCACUGUAGAGGCAGGUGGAAUUCCGGGUGUAGCGGUGGAAUGCGUAGAGAUCCGGAAGAACACCGGUGGCGAAGGCGGCCUGCUGGGCAGUGGCUGACGCUGAGGCGCGACAGCGUGGGGAGCAAGCGGG